UCCAGGCCCUACGGGGCGCAGCAGGCGCGAAACCUCCGCAAUGUGAGAAAUCGCGACGGGGGGACCCCAAGUGCCAUUCUUAACGGGAUGGCUUUUCUUAAGUGUAAAAAGCUUUUGGAAUAAGAGCUGGGCAAGACCGGUGCCAGCCGCCGCGGUAACACCGGCAGCUCUAGUGGUGGCCAGUUUUAUUGGGCCUAAAGCGUUCGUAGCCGGUUUAUUAAGUCUCUGGUGAAAUCCCGUAGCUUAACUAUGGGAAUUGCUGGAGAUACUAGUAGACUUGAGGUCGGGAGAGGUUAGAGGUACUCCCAGGGUAGGGGUGAAAUCCUGUAAUCCUGGGAGGACCACCUGUGGCGAAGGCGUCUAACUGGAACGAACCUGACGGUGAGGGACGAAAGCUAGGGGCGCGAACCGGAUUAGAUACCCGGGUAGUCCUAGCCGUAAACGAUGCGGACUUGGUGUUAGGAUGGCUUUGAGCCGCUCUAGUGCCGAAGGGAAGCUGUUAAGUCCGCCGCCUGGGAAGUACGGUCGCAGACUGAAACUUAAAGGAAUUGGCGGGGGAGCACCACAACGCGUGGAGCCUGCGGUUUAAUUGGAUUCAACGCCGG
rnacentral:rRNA from 1 species